CAAGCGAUAAUUUAACCCCCCCAGAAUUUUGGCCUUGGGUGCUAAAAGUGGAAGUGAAAAUCUUUCUCGUUUGA
rnacentral:tRNA from 1 species